AGAGUAAUUGAAAGCUUCUAUCACCUUAUGGAUAAUAAAAACAUUAUAUCGAAUUACCCUCCUUAAAUGUCAUGAUUAAGAUAGCUCUUCUUAAGUUACGUUCUUACUCCUAUCUCUAACCUAUGUCGAAAUGAUUCAUCUUCCUGUAACUUCACAUUUAAAAUGAGAAGUGAUUUCUUCGAAUGGCGCCAAGCAUCAACCCAGAUUCUUCGGCUAUUUCAGUUUCUCAACCUAAUCUUUAUCCUCGUCUUUAGGCUCUUAAAGGUGGUCCAAUUCUAGUGCUUAUCUCAUUUUUUCCUCCAUUGGACCUUUACCGCUUGAUUUCCAGGUGGGUUGGUUUAAGGGGGUAAAUUCUUGUUGUGUAUUUAAAUUACGUUAUGCAAUGAUUUAUGAUUAUUGCACUUCUCAUGAAUCAUGAUUAUCCUAAUAGUUAAAUAAGAUUAAGAUUCAUAUGAUCAAAUAAUACACUCAUCCCUAGAUAGACCAUCGCCCCCCAUUAUGAUUUACGGGCCGAGUUUUGCCCUCUAUGAUUUAUGAUACUGUCUGAUGGAUACAUAAUCCCAGACCUCUAUGAUUCAAGCACUAGGGUGGUGCGCUAGUUAGCAGAGUUAGGGGGGCCAUAGAUAAGAACAUGAUUACAAGUACAUAUGACUUCUACUGAAUAGAUACUAAGACUCGCGAUAUACUUAAGGCCUAUAAAUAAUAUUCCAUGAUUAUGAAUAACUCUUAAUUAACUUGUGAUAAUGAAACCUUAAGAUUACGAUAAUAAACACGCAAGACUGACCCCGAGCCACCCACCAGGUCACGCUGGAGGAGCUAGAGAUCAACCACCCUCAGGAGAGUGCGAUCGUUGCCCAUCAUGUCGCUGGACUCAGAGUGAGUGACAAGCUUAAGAGGUCGAGUAUUUGCAGUUUAUGGAGUUAGACUCGAGACUAUUUCUUUCAGACUUUUAUUGUUGGAUUUUAUCGUUGAGCACCCACUUGUUAGGAUUUUAUUUCAUCUUUGACUAUUAUGAGUUUUGUUAGCAAUUUUGGAUCGAUUCUAUCAAUUUUGUUUUGGAGCCAUUUAAUAUUCCCGAGCAUUUUGGUCAUUUAAUAAAUGCUAGGAGUUUAGGGCUUAACAUGCUAUGUUGAAACAAUAUAUGAAACUUUGAACGUAUUAAUAUGGUACUAUACUUGUACAAUAUUUUACUAACUAUAAAUGAGAACAAAUCUGAUACCCACUACUUGUAUUUGCGAGAGAAGAAGAGCUAAUAUUUAUACAUAACUACAACCAUAUAUAAUAAUAUGUCAUGGCUAAUCAUAUAGUUCUUUCCAAAUAUGCAUACAUAAUUGCAAUAAUAUAUUUAAUACAUGUAUUAGCUAGUCAAAUCAACAUUUUUUCCUCAUUACAAGAAAGACCAAGGGCAAUAACGAUAAUGUUGGACAGUUGUUUGCAAACCCCAGAGUUCUGAUAAAUACAUGAUUUCAAUAUAACUUAUUUGGGAAAAAAGUGGGUCCAAGGGAAAUUUAUGUUUAUAAAACAUUAACUCAUUAAGACUAAUCAAACAAAAUUUUUAUCACUUUUACAAAAACUCAAACCAAAUUUCUUUCUUAACAAACAAAACAUUAGUAAU
rnacentral:lncRNA from 1 species